rnacentral:rRNA from 1 species
AGAGUUUGAUCAUGGCUCAGAGUGAACGCUGGCGGCAGGCCUAACACAUGCAAGUCGAACGGCAGCACAGGAGAGCUUGCUCUCUGGGUGGCGAGUGGCGGACGGGUGAGGAAUACAUCGGAAUCUACCCUUUCGUGGGGGAUAACGUAGGGAAACUUACGCUAAUACCGCAUGCGCCCUUCGGGGGAAAGCCGGGGACCUUCGGGCCUGGCGCGAUUGGAUGAGCCCAUGUCGGAUUAGCUAGUUGGCGGGGUAAAGGCCCACCAAGGCGACGAUCCGUAGCUGGUCUGAGAGGAUGAUCAGCCACACUGGAACUGAGACACGGUCCAGACUCCUACGGGAGGCAGCAGUAGGGAAUAUUGGACAAUGGGCGCAAGCCUGAUCCAGCCAUGCCGCGUGAGUGAAGAAGGCCCUCGGGUUGUAAAGCUCUUUUGUCCGGAAAGAAAAGCAUCGGGUUAAUACCCCGGUGUUCUGACGGUACCGGAAGAAUAAGCACCGGCUAACUUCGUGCCAGCAGCCGCGGUAAUACGAAGGGUGCAAGCGUUACUCGGAUUACUGGGCGUAAGCGUGCGUAGUGGUUCGUUAGUCCGAUGUGAAAGCCCUGGCUCAACCUGGAUGCAUUGGAUACUGCGGCUAGAGUGCGUAGAGGAUAGUGAUUCCUGUGUAGCAGUGAAAUGCGUAGAGAUCAGAGACAUCUGUG